UACGAAGGGGGCUAGCGUUGCUCGGAAUGACUGGGCGUAAAGGGCGCGUAGGCGGUCAGCACAAGUCAGUUGUGAAAUCUCCGGGCUUAACUCGGAAAGGUCAACUGAUACUGUGCGACUAGAGUGCGGAAGGGGCAACUGGAAUUCUCGGUGUAGCGGUGAAAUGCGCAGAUAUCGGGAGGAACACCAGUAGCGAAGGCGGCACUCUGGGCCGGAACUGACGCUGAGGAGCGAAAGCGUGGGUAGCAAACAGG
rnacentral:rRNA from 1 species